UGAAACACGGACCAAGGAGUCUAGCAUGUGCGCGAGUCAAUGGGUGUAGAAACCCAAAGGCGAAAUGAAAGUGAAGGCCGGCUAGAUCGGCUGAUACGGGAUCCGUUGCUUCGGCGGCGGCGCACCGUAGCCCCGUUCCGACCGCUUGCGGUAGGGCGGCGGUAGAGCGUACACGCUGGUACCCGAAAGAUGGUGAACUAUGCCUGAGCAGGACGAAGCCAGAGGAAACUCUGGUGGAAGUCCGCAACGGUUCUGACGUGCAAAUCGAUCGUUAGACUUGGGUAUAGGGGCGAAAGACUAAUCGAACCAUCUAGUAGCUGGUUCCCUCCGAAGUUUCCCCCAGGAUAGCUGGAACUCGGUGCAGUUGUAUCCGGUAAAGCGAAUGAUUAGAGGCCUUGGGGACGAAACGACCUCAACCUAUUCUCAAACUUUAAAUGGGUACGAAGCCGCGGUUGCUUGACUCGAACCGUUGGCGAAGAAUGCGAGCUCCAAGUGGGCCAUUUUUGGUAAGCA
rnacentral:rRNA from 1 species